AUCGCUUCUCGGCCUUUUGGCUAAGAUCAAGUGUAAAAACUCCUGAUGCCAGGGCACAUCCCAGAUCAAUUAAAUCGGAUUUUUUUUUAAAGUAUCAUGCAUUAGUAUUUUUUCAAAUCUUCCAAAGUGAUUUCAUUGUGCAAACAAAAUCACAACUACU
rnacentral:snRNA from 1 species